AAUCAACGCUGGCGGCGUGCCUCAGACAUGCAAGUCGAACGCGAAAGGCCCCUUCGGGGGCCCGGUAGAGUGGCGCACGGGUGAGUAACACGUAGGUAAUUUGCCUUCGGGUGGGGAAGUAACAGCCGGAACGGACUGCUAAUACCGCAUAAUGCAGCGGCUCGACAUCGAGACAGUUGUUAAAGACGGGGGAGUCGCAAGACCUCGCGCCUGAAGAGAAGCCUGCGGCAGAUAGUCUUGUUGGUGAGGUAAUGGCUCACCAAGGCGACGAUCUGUAACCGGGCCUGAGAGGGCGGUCGGUCACACUGACACUGACAUACGGGUCAGACUCCUACGGGAGGCAGCAGUCGGG
rnacentral:rRNA from 1 species